CAGCCGCCGCGGUAAUACGUAGGGUGCAAGCGUUAAUCGGAAUUACCGGGCGUAAAGCGUGCGCAGGCGGUUCGCUAAGACAGAUGUGAAAUCCCCGGGCUUAACCUGGGAACUGCAUUUGUGACUGGCGGGCUAGAGUAUGGCAGAGGGGGGUAGAAUUCCACGUGUAGCAGUGAAAUGCGUAGAGAUGUGGAGGAAUACCGAUGGCGAAGGCAGCCCCCUGGGCCAAUACUGACGCUCAUGCACGAAAGCGUGGGGAGCGAACAGGAUUAGAUACCCCCGUAGUCCCUGUCUCUUAUAA
rnacentral:rRNA from 1 species